rnacentral:rRNA from 1 species
GACGAACGCUGGCGGCGUGCCUAAUACAUGCGAGUUGAGCGCUGAAGGUUGGUACUUGUACCAACUGGAUGAGCAGCGAACGGGUGAGUAACGCGUGGGGAAUCUGCCUUUGAGCGGGGGACAACAUUUGGAAACGAAUGCUAAUACCGCAUAAAAACUUUAAACACAAGUUUUAAGUUUGAAAGAUGCAAUUGCAUCACUCAAAGAUGAUCCCGCGUUGUAUUAGCUAGUUGGUGAGGUAAAGGCUCACCAAGGCGAUGAUACAUAGCCGACCUGAGAGGGUGAUCGGCCACAUUGGGACUGAGACACGGCCCAAACUCCUACGGGAGGCAGCAGUAGGGAAUCUUCGGCAAUGGACGAAAGUCUGACCGAGCAACGCCGCGGGAGUGAAGAAGGGUUUCGGAUCGUAAAACUCUGUUGGUAGAGAAGAACGUUGGUGAGAGUGGAAAGCUCAUCAAGUGACGGUAACUACCCAGAAAGGGACGGCUAACUACGUG